UACGAAGGGGGCUAGCGUUGCUCGGAAUUACUGGGCGUAAAGCGCACGUAGGCGGGUCGAUAAGUCGGGGGUGAAAUCCUGGAGCUCAACUCCAGAACUGCCUUCGAAACUGUUGAUCUUGAGUUCGGGAGAGGUGAGUGGAACUGCGAGUGUAGAGGUGAAAUUCGUAGAUAUUCGCAAGAACACCAGUGGCGAAGGCGGCUCACUGGCCCGAUACUGACGCUGAGGUGCGAAAGCGUGGGGAGCAAACAGG
rnacentral:rRNA from 1 species